GAUGAACGCUGGCGGCGUGCCUAAUACAUGCAAGUCGAGCGAACAGACGAGGAGCUUGCUCCUCUGACGUUAGCGGCGGACGGGUGAGUAACACGUGGAUAACCUACCUAUAAGACUGGGAUAACUUCGGGAAACCGGAGCUAAUACCGGAUAAUAUAUUGAACCGCAUGGUUCAAUAGUGAAAGACGGUUUUGCUGUCACUUAUAGAUGGAUCCGCGCCGCAUUAGCUAGUUGGUAGGGUAACGGCUUACCAAGGCAACGAUGCGUAGCCGACCUGAGAGGGUGAUCGGCCACACUGGAACUGAGACACGGUCCAGACUCCUACGGGAGGCAGCAGUAGGGAAUCUUCCGCAAUGGGCGAAAGCCUGACGGAGCAACGCCGCGUGAGUGAUGAAGGCCUUCGGAUCGUAAAACUCUGUUAUUAGGGAAGAACAAAUGUGUAAGUAACUAUGCACGUCUUGACGGUACCUGAUCAGAAAGCCACGGCUAACUACGUG
rnacentral:rRNA from 1 species